UUCCUUCUCUUUGUUUGUCCCCCCGGUUUCUUUCUUUGGCCCGCUAAUUGCUCGUUUGUUCUUUUGUCUUUCUCUUUGUUUCUUUCUCUCUCCUCCUCGCUCAUCCUCCUCCGCUUUCCUUUGUUCCGAGAGGCCGGCCCCAGUGUGGUUUCGGUUGUGCUUCGGAGCAGUCGCGUAGUCACCCGUGUCCAGCUCCUGCUUUGUUCUUUGUUCCGAAAUCGGUCUUCUUCUUCCUCGGACCCCGAACGUCGCCUCACGGUUCCUGCCUUCGUCAAAGGGCCUCCUUUCGUUCGACACAUUGGGCGCAAGAGCGAGUUGCACGGCUGGCCCUCCGUUUCAAGUGACCUCCUUCAGCUGCGGAUGACCUGUGCUUAAUCAAGACCGCUUGAAUGGCAACUGAGAACUUGCUCCAAGCAAAAAGUGUUUUU